GCUAAAUACUCCUGACUGACCGAUAGUGAACCAGUACCGUGAGGGAAAGGCGAAAAGAACCCCGGCGAGGGGAGUGAAAAAGAACCUGAAACCGUGUACGUACAAGCAGUGGGAGCACCUUCGGGUGUGACUGCGUACCUUUUGUAUAAUGGGUCAGCGACUUAUAUUCUGUAGCAAGGUUAACCGUAUAGGGGAGCCGCAGGGAAACCGAGUCUUAACUGGGCGUUAAGUUGCAGGGUAUAGACCCGAAACCCGGUGAUCUAGCCAUGGGCAGGUUGAAGGUUGGGUAACACUAACUGGAGGACCGAACCGACUAAUGUUGAAAAAUUAGCGGAUGACUUGUGGCUGGGGGUGAAAGGCCAAUCAAACCGGGAGAUAGCUGGUUCUCCCCGAAAGCUAUUUAGGUAGCGCCUCGUGAACUCAUCUUCGGGGGUAGAGCACUGUUUCGGCUAGGGGGUCAUCCCGACUUACCAACCCGAUGCAAACUACGAAUACCGAAGAAUGUUAUCACGGGAGACACACGGCGGGUGCUAACGUCCGUCGUGAAGAGGGAAACAACCCAGACCGCCAGCUAAGGUCCCAAAGUCACAGUUAAGUGGGAAACGAUGUGGGAAGGCACAGACAGCCAGGAUGUUGGCUUAGAAGCAGCCAUCAUUUAAAGAAAGCGUAAUAGCUCACUGGUCGAGUCGGCCUGCGCGGAAGAUGUAACGGGGCUAAACUGUGCACCGAAGCUGCGGCAGCGACACUAUGUGUUGUUGGGUAGGGGAGCGUUCUGUAAGCCUGCGAAGGUGGCCUGUGAGGGUUGCUGGAGGUAUCAGAAGUGCGAAUGCUGACAUAAGUAACGAUAAUGCGGGUGAAAAGCCCGCACGCCGGAAGACCAAGGGUUCCUGUCCAACGUUAAUCGGGGCAGGGUGAGUCGACCCCUAAGGCGAGGCCGAAAGGCGUAGUCGAUGGGAAACAGGUUAAUAUUCCUGUACUUGGUGUUACUGCGAAGGGGGGACGGAGAAGGCUAUGUUAGCCGGGCGACGGUUGUCCCGGUUUAAGCAUGUAGGCGGAGGU
rnacentral:rRNA from 1 species